GACAUGGGCGCAAGCCUGAUCCAGCCAUGCCGCGUGCAGGAUGAAGGCCUUCGGGUUGUAAACUGCUUUUGUACGGAACGAAAAGCUUCUCUUUAAUAAAAAAUGCUCAUGACGGUACCGUAAGAAUAAGCACCGGCUAACUACGUGCCAGCAGCCGCGGUAAUACG
rnacentral:rRNA from 1 species